AUGGCCAAAGCUAUGCUGAUCCGAAGCCAGAAGCCAGGAGCCAGGAGCUUCCUCCUGGUCUCCCAUGUGGGUGCAGGGGCCCAAGGACUUGGGCCAUCCUCUAUUGCUUUCCCAGGCCACAGCAGAGAGCUGGAUUGGAAGAGGAGCAGCUGGGGCUAGAACCAGCGCCCAUAUGGGAUGCUGGCACCACAGGCAGAGGAUUAACCUACUGCACCAUGGUGCUGGCCCAGACUUCAAUUUAAAAACUGCUGUCUUAGGUUGAGGCUUCAGAAACCCUUAGAAUAGAACCUACCAAUUUUCAUUUAAGUCAUAGCCAUCAGUCUUGAGUGAGGACUCACGCUUGGGGUUGGCUGCUGAUUUUGUCACUUAUCCCUGAUGACAUAGGUCUUGUUAGUGACAGCUGCGUCACCCAGGUUGAAUAAGCAGCAAAGUAUCAUGAACUGUGUGACAACACGUCAUGUCCCUGAGCAUGUCCUCUGCGGGCUCUCCCGAGGCGGCAGCGCUCAUGUUCCAGGCUGGAGCCAGACUCUGGCCUUGUGCUUCCUCCACCCUGAAUUCUGCUAAUUAGACCUCUUGCCCCGCCCUCCAGCAGAGACAAAUGCAGGACCUUGGAACAGCGUACGAGGCCAGGCUGUCACACACGCCAGGGCCUGGGAAAGGAUGUGGCAUGGCCAGGUGCAGAGGUGUGUGCUGAGAGCAGUGCUGGAACGCGGGCGGUGCAUUUCAGUGGAUCGCAAGAGAAAGGGUCUCAGAGAGGGGAGGGGAGGAACUCGUUUUCCCAAGAGUUUGCUCUGCUGCAAUCAUUCCUCAAGCCUGGCCAGUCACAGAAAACCCAGUGCCCUUCCUGACUGCGCUGCGCUGGCUUCAGCUUUCCUCCCAAGGCUGCAGAAGAGGUCUCGUUCAAGGGCUCACGAUGGGUGCCUGUCCCCACUGACCGAAAUGGCUGCCCUGCUCUCUGCGCCCUGGGACUCCGUCUUUAACAAACUGCAGCAAACAAGUCUGAAGGCUUGGGCACGUGGCACCCCGGCCGCCGUGACCCCGCCAGGCCAGAGGAGUCUGCAGAGGGCUCCCAGUUCCGUCGUGGGCGUCCCACCAGCUGCUCUCGUCGAGGAAAGAGGAAACGGAUCUGCAGAGCCUGGCUGGGGCACCGUGGUGCAGAGACUCCCACGCCAGACAGGGGACCCGAGUCCCAGGCUAUGACUCCGGCAUGGAGCCUACCUAGUUUGUGCAGCCGCCCCCGUCCCACGGUUGCCCAGAGGUCCAGAUGCAGCUGUGUUAAGCCCAGGUCACCAUGAAGUUUGGGGCCCGCUCCUCAGCACAAGCCUGGCAAUCAUUCCUGGUUCCUGUGCCCCUGGGAAAUUAAAUACCCACUCCACCCCCAGAAGGUGUCACAGACAGGAGGCCUGGACCGCCUGCAUUUUCUGGGCUGCAAUGGACUUUUAAAGGUGCGAGUGGUCGAGGCAGGACUGGCAUUACAGGAAAUCAGCAGCAGCAGCUCCCAUCGUGGCGAGGUCACCAUGAGAGGCGUCAUUGAUGCCUCUUGUCCAUGGGGACGGGCAGAGAACUCAGCAGAGCGAGGAGCCCCAGGAUGGGCACGGAUCUUGGGCUGUCCUGGCGAACGAAGCCCCAUGGCCACCCCCACCCCAGCACACACAGCCUCUGGGCCCUUUGCCCAGGCUGGAGACACUGCUGUCCCAGCUCAGGGUUUUAUGUGCUGGGCACUGUGCUGGGCAACUGUGUGGCACUAACUUUCAUCUGCAAAGCCUAAAUGACUCCCCACCCCCUUCCACCAGAAAUAAACCCAUGAGGCCAUUCCAGAUUUUUCCAGCAUCUUCAGUAACGGAAAUUCCAGCCGUGUGAGAUCCUUGUUUCAGAGAACAGGAAGCGGCCCCCGCUGGUGGCUCAGGGGGAUCGGCAACUCGCGGGUUCAGAAGCCAGGGUCACCAAGCCAGAGGCAGAAUGCGCACAGAACUCUUCUGGAGCUUUGACUCUCACAGGACGGUGCCAGGGGCCUGGGUCUGAAGCAAACAGCUACAACUUCAGAACCUUCACCUGGAAAAUGCAACUAAAAGACUACUUUGGGUGCAAAACAUCUUGAGAUCUGUGGGUAGAUUUCUCACAAAACACGCUUUCUGUGAACUCUCUGACAACUCCUUGUGUGUGUAGAUUGCAAAUUGUUUGCACCAACUACUCACCUUUCUGUUUUCCCACAAACUCUUCAAUUUAUCCUCAUGUUUCUAUGGGAUGGGGAGCUAAUUGAUUUUCGUAGAUGUGGUCUGGCCGGGCAGGGCUGGCUUGCACUUGCAACCAGACGGAAGUGAAAGGAAUCUCAGACAGCUAAGACCGCAGGUGACCAGGCAGUGGGUGAUUAAUUUACGCCUGCAUGGGCGCCCAACCAGGACCUUCCUGUUCCUUUUCUGGAGCUCACUGGCCGGAGGCCUGCGUAGACCUCGUGGCUGCGAGGGUG